rnacentral:rRNA from 1 species
ACGUAAUAGAUACCCGGGUAGUCCUAGCAGUAAACGAUGACCACUAGGUGUGGGGGGUGUUGACCCCUUCCGUGCCGAAAGCCAAACGCAUUAAAGUGGUCCGCCUGGGGAGUACGGUCGCAAGACUAAAACUCAAAGGAAUUGACGGGGACCCGCACAAGCAGCGGAGCGUGUGGUUUAAUUCGAUGCAACGCGAAGAACCUUACCUGGGCUUGACAUGCAAUCGCAACACCAAGAAAUUGGUGCCUCCUUCGGGACGGUUGCACAGAUGCUGCAUGGCUGUCGUCAGCUCGUGUCGUGAGAUGUUGGGUUAAGUCCCGCAACGAGCGCAACCCUCGUCUUUAGUUGAAAAUCUAAAGAGACUGCCGGAAACAAACCGGAGGAAGGUGGGGAUGAUGUCAAGUCAGCAUGGCUCUUACGUCCAGGGCUACACACACGCUACAAUGGUCGUUACAGCGAGAAGCAACACUGCGAAGUGAGGCAGAUCUCUAAAGGGCGGCCUCAGUUCAGAUUGCACUCUGCAACCCGAGU